AUUGAACGCUGGCGGCAUGCUUUACACAUGCAAGUCGAACGGCAGCACGGGUGCUUGCACCUGGUGGCGAGUGGCGAACGGGUGAGUAAUGCAUCGGAACGUGCCCAUGAGUGGGGGAGUAGCCCGGCCGAAAGACCGGAUUAAUAACCGCAUACGCCCUUACGGGGGAAAGGACGGGGGAGUCUUCGGACCUCGCGCUAUUGGAGCGGCCGAUGUCGGAUUAGCUAGUAGGUGAGGUAAAGGACUCACCUAGGCGACGAUCCGUAGCUGGUCUGAGAGGAUGAUCAGCCACACUGGGACUGAGACACGGCCCA
rnacentral:rRNA from 1 species